UACGUAGGGACCGAGCGUUGUCCGGAAUCAUUGGGCGUAAAGAGCGUGUAGGCGGCCUUUUAAGUCCUGCGUGAAAUCCUGCGGCUCAACCGCAGACGGUCGUGGGAAACUGGAAGGCUAGAGUGCGGGAGAGGAGAGUGGAAUUCCCGGUGUAGCGGUGAAAUGCGCAGAUAUCGGGAAGAACACCCGUGGCGAAGGCGGCUCUCUGGAACGCAACUGACGCUGAGACGCGGAAAGCGGUGGGGAGCAAACAGGG
rnacentral:rRNA from 1 species